GGACUUUUUGGCUUUGUAAAUAUUACUUUGAUUAUAUGUUUAAAUUCUACAAUACAUUAGUAUUUCAGUAAUUUUACUCCAAAUGUCUCCUUUUAUUUAAUGUGUUACUUGUGUUUCUAUGUAAUUUUGAAUCUUCAUUUUGAUAAGUGAAUUUUAACAAUAGCACCAAGUAAAUAUUACCUAAAUUAUUGUAUUGACUGUACAACCUGUUAAAUCUAUUAAAAUGUACAUGGGAAAUGCAAGUUAACUGUGGGUGACGUCAUAGGAGAGUAUUUCCCGCACGUUGCCCCCGCAGACAUGCACGGACAGUCUACUCAGAAGGUUGACAUUUGAGUGGAACUUGAAGACUGCUUGGUCGACCAUUUCAUUUGAAUAUUCAUCGAUGUGGAGUCAUUUUUGUUUUUGUUCUUAGGCAACAUUUCAUUUGAUGGUUGGUGUUUUCCUCCAGCAGCCUGUUGAAAUUACAGUGCCCUCUCACUGUACAACAGCAUCAAGUUACAACAGCAAGACAAGACACCUGACCAUGGAGGUUACCAAGGGAAAUUGAGUCAUUCAGCAAUUUUGUCUUCGACAGCUAAUGCAGAAUUCCACUAGAUGGGUGUGCAAAACAUGUAGCUUUGAAUCUAACAAAAGGACAGGAUUGUUAAAGCACUACAGGCUAAAACAUCUACAUGUAGAAGAUAGACGAGAUGCCAUCAUCCGCUGCUUGAUGGAGUUCCUUGGAGAGUCUACAGAGGAACUCAUCAAAGACUACCAGGAUGUGAGCAAAGAAAUCGUCAGAGGACUAUGCUGAGCACGUCAUGAAAAUAGUUGUCCUCCGUGGAAGUGCAGCACACGAAGGCCCUGCCGAUGUGUCCAUCAUCAUCGAGGGAAGUGAGGUUCUUGAUGACUGCAGAUGUGUGUCAAAGGCUUGCCUUCUGCUCAUGGGCUUCAUAUAUGCAAUGAACUUAAGUUAUCCACCGAAGAUGAAAUACACUUUUGAGGUAUUUCAGAAGCUCUUUCUUGAGCUAAAUGUCCUGAAGAUGUCUCCAAAAGUCCAUGCAUUGUGCAACAAACUUGUAGCCUAAGUGUAUGCAAAGGUGUUUCUUCAACUUGCAGUUCAGAGGAAAUACUUGGUAUUUAUGGUGUCGAGCAACAGUGACCUUUUUCAUAUGAUUUGCCUGAGCCCACUUUGUACAACUACAUGUUUUGUAUAUUGUUAAGAUAAUGUUUCAAAACCUUGUUUAGGGGGUUCUUGACACAGCACUUUUUAGUUUCCCCUGGAAACAGUUUCAUUUGUUGUGCUUUGAGUAUUUGCAGCUCAAUGAGGCACUUGUCAAAUUGGUGAAGAUUUUUUCUUCAUUUGAUUGUGUUUUGUAUGUUUUCUUGAGUGCGUUGAAUUCUCAGGGCCACUGUACAACUUCAUAUUGUGUAAUUAUUCUCUAUAACCAGGGGUGCACACAACUUUCUCAGUGAGGUACUCAGAUGAGUACCUGGAGUCAGUGUUUGGUACUCCAACUUCUGG